rnacentral:rRNA from 1 species
UGCAGUCGAGCGGUCCAGCCGACUUCGGUCGGCUAAGGAUAGCGGCGGACGGCUGAGUAACACGUAGGUAACCUGUCCGGAAGUGGGGAAUAACUUGCCGAAAGGCGAGCUAAUACCGCAUGUGCUCUCGGAGUGAAAGUCUUCGAGAGGAAAGCAGCAAUGCGCUUUCGGAGGGGCCUGCGCCCUAUCAGGUAGUUGGUGGGGUAACGGCCUACCAAGCCGAUGACGGGUAGCUGGUCUGAGAGGAUGAUCAGCCAGACGGGGACUGAGACACGGCCCUGACUCCUACGGGAGGCAGCAGCGAGGAAUCUUGGGCAAUGGGCGAAAGCCUGACCCAGCGACGCCGCGUGGAGGAUGAAGGCCCUAGGGUCGUAAACUCCUUUUGUCGGGGAAAAAGAUCUGACGGUACCCGACAAAUAAGCCACGGCUAACUACGUGCCAGCAGCCGCGGUAAUACGUAGGUGGCAAGCGUUGUCCGGAUUUACUGGGCGUAAAGCGCGUGUAGGCGGUCCGUUAAGUCCGUAGUGAAAUCUCCCGGCUCAACUGGGAGGGGUCUGCGGAUACUGGCGGGCUUGAGGGGGGCAGAGGAAGGCGGAAUUCCCGGUGUAGCGGUGAAAUGCGUAUAUAUCGGGAGGAACACCAGUGGCGAAGGCGGCCUUCUGGGCCCAUCCUGACGCUGAGGCGCGAAAGCGUGGGGAGCGAACCGGAUUAUAUACCCGGGUAGUCCACGCCCUAAACGUUGGACACUAGGUGUGGGGGGGUGUCGACUCCCUCUGUGCCGUAGCUAACGCAUUAAGUGUCCCGCCUGGGGAGUACGGCCGCAAGGCUAAAACUCAAAGGAAUUGACGGGGCGCCCGCACAAGCGGGCAGAGCGUGUGGUUUUAUUCGAUGCAACGCGCAGAAUCUUACCAGGACUUGA